GCUCCAGUGGUGCAAUGGGUUAGCAUGUGGUACUUAUAAGGCAGUACUGUGGGAAAGUGAUGCCAAGGUUGUGAGUUCGAGCCUCACCUGGAGCA
rnacentral:tRNA from 1 species